UGCACUGAGCUCCUCUCUCCUCUACUUCCUCUCCCUCUGUAUGCAACCUCAUCCCAUUAUUGCAUGUUACUAACACAACUUCUCCCCUUUCUGGUAGUCUUGUGCUUUCUCGUCCUUCUCCUCUGUCCUAUCAUUUCCUGCAGGUUUUCUGGCUCUGGAGCUGUGGAGUCUGGAUCUGUGGCUGCGAGUCACCUGCUGCCCCCGUGUUCCUGCUAAGCACCCUCUGCUUGAGAUUUAUGAAAAUCAAGAUGUUGUAGCACGCUCAAAGAAGGGGACCUCCAAACCACAGAGCACCUGUGACCACUAUGAUGAUGCCGGUGAAGACCAGUCUGUGUACCAAAACUUUGCUAUAACAGAGGAUAUCUACUGCAAUCAAAUUUACAAUAAAGCCAAUAAAAAAUAAACAGCAAGCACAUCUGUAAUCAAA